rnacentral:misc_RNA from 1 species
AAGUCGUAACAAGGUUUCGUCAGAACAGUAUCCUUCCGGGUAGCCUGUGGAAGCCCCUGCAACCUCACCAGGGUCCGCGACUAUAAAGAUCGGAUGCAAGUCGCAUAGCGGCAACAUGAUCGAAUUGCGGGGAUGUCCUAAAGCCUAGCGGUACCAACGCCCUGAGGAAACUCACGGCGGGCCAGUGUUAAUCACGCUGGGGGUCAGAACCUGCUAGGAUGCUACAAUGGAUAAUCCGCAGCGAAGUCCCUAACGGCGAUAGCCCACGGGAAACGUUCACAGACUAGGUGGUCGUGGGUAGGCGAGUCCUGCUUAAGAUAUAGUCGGGCGCUGUAGGAAACUACAGCGGUUAACCGUUCCGUAGGUGAACCUGCGGAAGGAUCAUUACAGAGUUCAUGCCCUUCGGGGUAGAUCUCCCACCCUUGUGUAUCAUUAUAGAAUGUUGCUUUGGCGGGCCGCGUGCCCAGCACGCCUUGCGUGCCCGCCAGAGGACCCCUAAACUCUGAAUGUUAGUGUCGUCUGAGUACUAUUAAAUAGUUAAAA